AGCGAACGCUGGCGGCAGGCCUAACACAUGCAAGUCGAACGAACCUUUCGGGGUUAGUGGCGGACGGGUGAGUAACACGUGGGAACGUGCCUUUAGGUUCGGAAUAACUCAGGGAAACUUGUGCUAAUACCGAAUGUGCCCUUCGGGGGAAAGAUUUAUCGCCUUUAGAGCGGCCCGCGUCUGAUUAGCUAGUUGGUUGAGGUAAUGGCUCACCAAGGCGACGAUCAGGAGCUGGUCGGAGUGGAUGAUCAGCCACAUUGGGACUGAGACACGGCCCAAAAUCCUACGGGAGGCAGCAGUGGGGAAUCUUGCGCAAUGGGCGAAAGUCUGACGCAGCCAUGCCGCGUGAAUGAUGAAGGUCUUAGGAUUGUAAAAUUCUUUCACCGGGGACGAUAAUGACGGUACCCGGAGAAGAAGCCCCGGCUAACUUCGUG
rnacentral:rRNA from 1 species